rnacentral:rRNA from 1 species
AGCGAACGCUGGCGGCAGGCUUAACACAUGCAAGUCGAACGCCAUCUUCGGAUGGAGUGGCAGACGGGUGAGUAACGCGUGGAAACAUACCUUUUGCUUCGGAAUAUUCCCGGGAAACUGGGAGCAAUACCGAAUACGCCCUGAGGGGGAAAGAUUUAUCGGCAAAAGAUUGGUCCGCGUUAGAUUAGGUAGUUGGUAGGGUAAUGGCCUACCAAGCCUGCGAUCUAUAGCUGGUCUGAGAGGAUGAUCUGCCACAUUGGGACUGAGACACGGCCCAAACUCCUACGGGAGGCAGCAGUGGGGAAUAUUGGACAAUGGGCGAAAGCCAGAUCCAGCCAUGCCGCGUGAAUGAUGAAGGCCUUAGGGUUGUAAAAUUCUUUCACCGGGGACGAUAAUGACGGUACCCGGAGAAGAAGCCCCGGCUAACUUCGUGCCAGCCGCCGCAGUAA